UACACACCGCCCGUCACGCCACGAAAGCUUGUUGUACCAGAAAACGGUGGGCUAACCCGCAAGGGAGGCAGCUGUCUACGGUAUGGCAGGUGAUUGGGGCG
rnacentral:rRNA from 1 species